UGGUGUUUAAAGGAUAGUGGAACCACAUUGAUCCAUUUCGAACUCAAUAGUGAAACAUUAUAACAGUGACAAUACUUAAGGAGCAGUCCUUUGGAAAGAUAGCUUAUGCC
rnacentral:rRNA from 1 species